rnacentral:rRNA from 1 species
CCUACGGGAGACAGCAGUGAGGAAUAUUGGUCAAUGGACGAGAGUCUGAACCAGCCCAGUAGCGUGAAGGAUGACUGCCCUAUGGGUUGUAAACUUCUUUUAUAUUGGAAUAAAAUGUUCCACGUGUGGGAUUUUGUAUGUACCAUAUGAAUAAGGAUCGGCUAACUCCGUGCCAGCAGCCGCGGUAAUACGGAGUAUCCGAGCGUUAUCCGGAUUUAUUGGGUUUAAAGGGAGCGUAGGUGGAUUGUUAGGUCAGUUGUGAAAGUUUGCGGCUCAACCGUAAAAUUGCAGUUGAAACUGGCAGUCUUGAGUACAGUAGAGGUGUGCGGAAUUCGUGGUGUAGCGGUGAAAUGCUUAGAUAUCACGAAGAACUCCGAUUGCGAAGGCAGCUCACUGGACUGCAACUGACACUGAGGCUCGAAAGUGUGGGUAGCAAACAGGAUUAGAGACCCCUGUAGUC